GACCAACGCUGGCGGCGUGCCUAAUGCAUGCAAGUCGUACGCCCAGCUUCGGCUGGGAGUGGCGGACGGGUGAGUAACACGUAUGCAAUCUGUCCAGGAGUGGGGAAUAACCCGCCGAAAGGUGGGCUAAUACCGCAUAUGGUCGCCGGUGAGAGACCGGUGGACAAAAGCCUUCGGGCGCUUCUGGAGGAGCGUGCGGCCGAUUAGCUUGUUGGUGAGGUAACGGCUCACCAAGGCGACGAUCGGUAGCUGGUCUGAGAGGACGGCCAGCCACACGGGGGACUGAGACACGGCCCCGACUCCUACGGGAGGCUG
rnacentral:rRNA from 1 species